CCUUGAAAUACCACCCUUUAAUGGCUGGUGUUCUAACGUAGACCCGUAAUCCGGGUUGCGGACAGUGUCUGGUGGGUAGUUUGACUGGGGCGGUCUCCUCCCAAAGAGUAACGGAGGAGCACGAAGGUUAGCUAAUCCUGGUCGGACAUCAGGAGGUUAGUGCAAUGGCAUAAGCUAGCUUGACUGCGAGAGUGACGGCUCGAGCAGGUGCGAAAGCAGGUCAUAGUGAUCCGGUGGUUCUGAAUGGAAGGGCCAUCGCUCAACGGAUAAAAGGUACUCCGGGGAUAACAGGCUGAUACCGCCCAAGAGUUCAUAUCGACGGCGGUGUUUGGCACCUCGAUGUCGGCUCAUCACAUCCUGGGGCUGAAGUAGGUCCCAAGGGUAUGGCUGUUCGCCAUUUAAAGUGGUACGCGAGCUGGGUUUAGAACGUCGUGAGACAGUUCGGUCCCUAUCUGCCGUGGGCGCUGGAGAAUUGAGGGGGGCUGCUCCUAGUACGAGAGGACCGGAGUGGACGCAUCACUGGUGUUCGGGUUGUCAUGCCAAUGGCACUGCCCGGUAGCUAAAUGCGGAAGAGAUAAGUGCUGAAAGCAUCUAAGCACGAAACUUGCCCCGAGAUGAGUUCUCCCUGA
rnacentral:rRNA from 1 species